rnacentral:rRNA from 1 species
GACAGAGGGUGCAAACGUUGCUCGGAUUUACUGGGCGUAAAGCGCGUGUAGGCGGAUGGGUAAGUCAGAUGUGAAAUCCCUGGGCUCAACCUAGGAACUGCACCUGAAACUGCCCAUCUGGAGUAGUGGAGAGGAGAGCGGAAUUCCUGGUGUAGCGGUGAAAUGCGCAGAUAUCAGGAGGAACACCGGUGGCGAAGGCGCCACUCUGGGCCGAAACUGACGCUGAGGAGCGAAAGCGUGGGUAGCAAACAGG